UACGGAGGGUGCGAGCGUUGUCCGGAAUCAUUGGGCGUAAAGGGCGCGUAGGCGGCCCGGUCAGCGUGCGGUGAAAGCUCGGGGCUCAACCCCGAGUCGGCCGUGCGAACUGCUGGGCUUGAGCACUGUAGAGGCAGGCGGAAUUCCGGGUGUAGCGGUGGAAUGCGUAGAGAUCCGGAAGAACACCGGUGGCGAAGGCGGCCUGCUGGGGCAUUCUUGACGCUGAGGCGCGAAAGCUGGGGGAGCAAACGGG
rnacentral:rRNA from 1 species